rnacentral:rRNA from 1 species
UACAGAGGUGGCAAGCGUUGUUCGGAAUUACUGGGCGUAAAGGGCGCGUAGGCGGCCUUCUAAGUCAGACGUGAAAUCCCCCGGCUUAACCUGGGAACUGCGUCUGAUACUGGGAGGCUUGAGACCGGGAGAGGUGAGUGGAAUUCCCAGUGUAGCGGUGAAAUGCGUAGAUAUUGGGAGGAACACCAGUGGCGAAGGCGGCUCACUGGACCGGAACUGACGCUGAGGCGCGAAAGCGUGGGGAGCAAACAGG